rnacentral:misc_RNA from 1 species
AGCACGCGACCAAUUAACGAGCACCUUCCUCUCAGCACGCCUAACUAGCGCCUUUCCUCUCAAUUCUCUUUGCUGCUUCCUGCAGAUAGCUGUGCCCUGUGUCUGCUGGUUAAGCACCGGUAGCUGCGCGCCUACCGCUUACGAACUGUUUAAGCAUCCCUAUUCUCUCCUCUGUGAGUAUAUACAACGAAAAACAUGGCCCGCGAUCAGCAUGCGUUCGAGUCAGAGCAGCAGAUGGGAUCCGUCAAAGCCGUCUCCGGACCCGUCGUGAUCGCCGAAAACAUGAGCGGCAGCGCGAUGUACGAACUUGUCCAGGUCGGAUCGUUCCGCCUCGUCGGCGAGAUCAUCCGCCUGGAGGGCGACACGGCCACAAUUCAGGUGUACGAGGAGACGGACGGCCUGACUGUCGGUGACCCGGUCUACUGUACCGGCAAGCCUCUGUCGCUCGAGCUGGGCCCUGGCAUCAUGUCGGAGAUCUUUGACGGCAUUCAGCGUCCGCUCGACACCAUUUACCAGAUGGUGCAGAACGUAUUCAUCCCGAAAGGCGUACAGGUGCGCGCGCUCAACGCGCAGAGGCAGUGGGACUUCACCCCGUCUGUGAAGGUGGGCGACAUCGUCACGGGCGGUGACGUGCUGGGCUUCGUCGCUGAGAACUCGCUCAUGAACAACCACAGCAUUAUGGUGCCGCCGAACAUGCAGGGCCGCGUGGUAUCGGUGCAGCCUGGCGGCAACUACACGCUGGAUGAUGAAGUGGUGGAGAUCGAGUGCAACGGCAAGAGGAAAUCGCUGCGUCUGAUGCAGCGCUGGCCCGUGCGCACGCCGCGCCCGGUGGCUUUGAAAGAGUCAGGCAACCACCCCCUCCUGACCGGCCAGCGUGUGCUGGAUGCGCUGUUCCCCUCCGUGCAGGGUGGCACGUGCUCGAUCCCCGGCGCGUUCGGCUGUGGCAAGACUGUCAUUAGUCAGGCCCUCUCCAAGUACUCCAACUCCGAUUGCGUCAUCUAUGUCGGCUGCGGCGAGCGCGGUAAUGAGAUGGCCGAGGUGCUCAUGGAGUUCCCGACCCUGACGACCGUGAUCGAUGGCCGCGAGGAGUCGAUCAUGAAGCGCACCUGCCUCGUGGCGAACACCUCGAACAUGCCAGUCGCAGCCCGUGAGGCCUCUAUUUACACCGGCAUCACCCUGGCCGAGUACUACCGUGAUAUGGGCAAGCAUAUCGCCAUGAUGGCUGACUCGACGUCUCGCUGGGCCGAGGCGCUUCGUGAGAUUUCGGGUCGUCUGGCGGAGAUGCCGGCCGAUGGUGGCUACCCCGCCUACCUCAGCGCUCGUCUCGCCUCCUUCUACGAGCGCGCCGGCCUCGUCACCUGCAUCGGCGGGCCGAAGCGCCAGGGCUCCGUCACGAUCGUCGGUGCCGUGUCUCCACCGGGCGGUGACUUCUCUGAUCCCGUGACAUCCGCCACUCUCAGCAUUGUGCAGGUCUUCUGGGGCCUGGAGAAGCGCCUCGCCCAGCGCAAGCACUUCCCGUCCGUAAACUGGCUCAUUUCCUACUCCAAAUACCUGAACGCGCUGGAGCCCUUCUUCAACACCUUCGACUCGGACUACAUGCGCCUGCGCGCCGUCGUGUCAGAGAUUUUGCAGCGCGAGGAGGAGCUGCAGGAGAUUGUGCAGCUGGUGGGUAAGGAUUCCCUUUCCGAGUCCGACAAGAUCAUUCUCGAGGUGGCAAAGGUGAUUCGUGAGGAGUUCCUCCAGCAGAACGCCUUCACCCCGUAUGACAAGUUUUGCCCGCUGUACAAGACAUGCUGGAUGCUGCGCAACAUCGUCACCUUCUACGAGGAGGCCCAGCGUGUCGUAGCCGAGUCUGCCGGCGACCACAAGAUCACGUGGAACUACAUCCGUGAGAAGAUUCCGACCAUAUACACGGGCCUGACCGAGAUGAAGUUCCGCGACCCUAUCGAGGGCGAGGAGGCGAACACGGACUACUUCAAGAAGCAGAACGAGGAGAUCAUCAGCUCCUUCAACUCGCUGCUACAGUAGGCCGCAGGCUCGCUUACCUUCUCUUUUCCUUGUGUCGUGCGUACUGCGCUACCUCGCGUGCGUGCUGUUCUGAUCCGUUGUCGUCCGCCUCGGUGGCGUCUAUUCGAUGCUUGUUUCCGGUGUUGCCUUGUGCUUGUCGCUGUGACAGUGGCGCAUGUAUUUUUUUUUUUGUUGUCAGAUUACCUUCUUGCCUCUCCCUGUACAUCCCUUGUGAAAGGGAUGGGAUGAAGUGGAUGGGGACACACGGCGCGAGCUGUCCUCACUAUGCACGCGACCGCGCCGCAUGGGUCGCGUCUAGCUUUUUUUCCCUUUGGCGGGCACCCCAGCCUCUCUCUCUCUCUCCUCGACGUUUUUGCUUCUGUGGGAUCCGCUACCUGGAUAGGCGGUUGUGAUAUUGCCGUGCGGUUGUGAGGGCCUCGCCCUAUCGGUGCUGGUGUGCUCUCUCGAGCCCGCCGUGUUGGCGGACGGCAACCUGAAAAGAACGGAUGCGAGACGGGAGGCGAAAAGAAUAGGUGCCAAAGAAGGUGCCAAAGGGCACAACGACAGCCGCCGCCGCCGCAACCGCAACAACCGCAGCGAUCGCCCUGCUCGUGUGUUCUCAUGUGAGCAGACGAUGUUGUUGUUGCUGCUUGUGUGUGUGUGUGCCGCAUGAUGCCAUGCUGUCUGUGCCAUGAGCCGUUCCCUGUGCGUGUGCAGGGCAGCCGCGCCGCGGUCUCCCGUCACCCCUAGUGUCCCUCGCUCGCCAUGCCGUCAAGCAGGGGAGAUCAGGAGGGAUGCGAAAGAGUGAGGGAGGUGGCUGCAUGCAGGCAGCCACGCGAGGUCGCGCAGGGCAGGGCGACAUGCCGCUGUGAGGCAGUAGAGGAAUGAACAUAAGCCAGGAGAGGCGGCAGGUAGUACAUUGUAGGCGUGUGCCUUCGUCUGUUGGGUACCGCAUUUUGGGUUGCGGCUUAGGUGGACACUGAGGAGCUGAUGACGCCUCCGAAUUGUGUUCCUCUCGGCGACGCUUUGGCUUGGCGGAAACUGUGAGCUGCUGCGGCCCUGCAAAGAAAACAACGAAGAAACUAAAGACGACGCCGAAUGUGCGGGAGGCAGCUCAUGGAGAAUGUGCACACCAGAUUGACUCACGCGUAUGCGUGAGUGUCGGCGUGUGAUACGUAGGCGUGCCGACUGCUGUAGUAGCGCAUGCAAUUUUGUUUGUUUUGAUCGUGGGAAUCUCUGAAC